rnacentral:rRNA from 1 species
GACGAACGCUGGCGGCGUGCUUAACACAUGCAAGUCGAGGCGGUAAGGCCCUUUCGGGGGUACACGAGCGGCGAACGGGUGAGUAACACGUGGGUGACCUGCCCUCAGCGUCUGGGAUAAGCCUGGGAAACCGGGUCUAAUACCGGAUAUGACGUCCAUGACGCAUGUUGUGGGGUGGAAAGCCUUGUGCGGCUGAGGAUGGGCCCGCGGCCUAUCAGCUUG